GACGAAGCGUGCGAACGUUAUUCGGAAUCACUGGGCUUAAAGGGCGCGUAGGCGGGUUCGCAAGUCUGUGGUGAAAGCCCCCGGCUUAACCGGGGAAGGGCCGUGGAUACUGCGAAUCUUGAGGAGGGUAGGGGCAUCUGGAACGGUCGGUGGAGCGGUGAAAUGCGUUGAUAUCGACCGGAACUCCGGUGGCGAAGGCGAGGUGCUGGACCCUUUCUGACGCUGAGGCGCGAAAGCCAGGGGAGCAAACGGG
rnacentral:rRNA from 1 species